UACAGAGGCCUCGAGCGUUAGGCGGAAUCACUGGGCUUAAAGCGUGUGUAGGCGGAUGCCUAAGUGCCUUGUGAAAUCCCACGGCUUAACCGUGGAACUGCUUGGCAUACUGGGUGUCUUGAGCAGCCUAGGGGCGAGCGGAACAGAUGGUGGAGCGGUGAAAUGCGUAGAGAUCAUCUGGAACGCCAAUGGUGAAGACAGCUCGCUGGGGGCUCGCUGACGAUGAGACACGAAAGACAGGGGAGCGAACGGG
rnacentral:rRNA from 1 species